rnacentral:rRNA from 1 species
CGCCAGCCCGCUCAAGAAACUCAAAGGAAUUGACGGGGGCCCGCACAAGCGGUGGAGCAUGUGGUUUAAUUCGAUGAUACGCGAGGAACCUUACCUGGGCUCAAAUGUAUGUUGACGUAUUCUGAAAGGGAUACUUCUUCGGACAAUAUACAAGGUGCUGCAUGGUUGUCGUCAGCUCGUGCCGUGAGGUGUCGGGUUAAGUCCCAUAACGAGCGCAACCCCUAUCAUUAGUUGCCAUCAGGUCAAGCUGGGGACUCUAAUGAAACUGCCUACGCAAGUAGUGAGGAAGGUGGGGAUGACGUCAAAUCAGCACGGCCCUUACGUCCAGGGCUACACACGUGCUACAAUGGCCGGUACAAAGGGCAGCUACCUGGUGACAGGAUGCUAAUCUCAAAAGCCGGUCUCAGUUCGGAUUGGAGGCUGCAACUCGCCUCCAUGAAGUCGGAAUCGCUAGUAACCGCAGAUCAGCUACGUUGCGGUGAAUACGUUCCCGGGCCUU